GUCUCAACAGAAAAACAGAGCAUUUGUUUAUUCCGGAGUUAGAAAAAAGUUUCUCUGCGCUUUUACUUCUUGCUAUUGAGAUAUUCUAUUAUUCAAGUUAAUCGCUUAGGAAGUGGUUGGUUGUGAGUACAUUAAUAUUAGACAAUGUGUCCCAUUGUAGAAAACAAUUAGUUAUUUUUACGAGCUUCCAACAAAUUUUUUUCUUAGCAGAUUCAUCCCCAAUUGUAUUAUGAAAGCCGUGUCUGAAUAGCAGAAAUCUUCCAUUGGAAAUCAGAUAUAAAAAUUCCGCAAUGAAAUAUGGACUCUUACAUCCCCUCAGCGAGGAUUUCUCAAAAUAGGGACGCACAUAGAACUGUCUGGGAUUAGAUAUUUACCUCUGACUGAGUGCAGUGAAGUUGAUUAAGCAGAAGAUCACCUUAUUGUCACCAGCCACACUUUUCAAUUUUCCAUCUAAAAGAGGCAAUUUUUGAAAUUUUCUACAAAAAGAAUAUGAAUAUGAGGGGAUGUUUAGAACAACAGCUUCGGACAAGUUUGCUUUUAAUUAAUUGUCUACCAGGGGCAAAAAGAUAGAUUCCCUGGUAUCGACAGCUCGCUCAAUUUUACGGAUAAGUCUUAUGUGAUAAAUCCUUCAUACGUUGUUUGCCAAAACUUCACCGAGAACAUGAAAAUGGCCAUGGAAACGACAUCAGGAGAAUUCCAUAGUUCGUGAGCACAUUUUGCCAGAUUUCACUACAGUUCGUCGGGUAUAUUUGCGAGAGAUUAUUCAUAAGGAAGUUGAUCAUCAUUCAUCACACCAUUGUAGUCAAUAAUGAAAGACUUCCUAUUCCUGAACACCUCUUUCAUUUUUCUGGUAUUGGGAUCCAGGAGGUGGGUUUACCAAAUACUAUCAUGAUAUCAUGAAUGAUUUAACAGCCUGUCCGCCUGAGACAUUUGAACAUCUCUUUGGCAAUACUAUAUUUGGAGUGGAUCAGCUCACUAUCUUGGAAAAAACAAGAUUUCAGCAAGAAAUUCGAGCUCUGGUUUCUCAAGAGUACAGAGUCCAUGUCAAAAUUGCCUACAAGGCUACAAGGCUGCUUCUUCUGUUUGGUAGGAUGGAAGAAAAUCAGUCAGAGUCGGGACUCCAAGAAUAAACGAAUUUUACGAAUGUCGGAAAUCUUGAUAAUUAUCUGUAAGAUGUGGAGGCUCAUCAGGCAACGCUUAAGUCUAUAAUAAUAGGCGUUGAUCAUACGCCAUUUCAUUUAACUUUCUGGGGUCCGGAAGAGCGUAAUGGCGGAGAUUGCAGAGGUGCUCUCCCUGUAACGGAAGAUUACACCAUGCUGGUCAGGUCAGGAAUAUGGUCAGUAUAUUACUACUUUGGCUUACGAAGUGAUAAAGAUCGUCUUUCGUUUUUAAAUAUCGGUCUUUAAUUUGCGCAGUUCCCACGUACUCUUCUUGGCAAUGGCUGGGAUGCUAAAUGAUGCCUUUCGUAAUGAGGACGAUGACAGCUACUGAGUGCCCAACUUCCUCACCCUGAACAAGUACAGUAAACACAAGCACUGAUAAUACAUUGCAUACUACCGGCCCCUGGAAGAAUAUAGAAUAUUGCUGACAAGGCUGUUUCGUUUUCGUAUGCCUGGCAGGGAGGGAAGAAAUUCAGCCAUGAGCAACUGCCUUAAUCCAAGAGGAAUUUGAGGAAGAAGGGAAGCGCAUCAUAAUUGACAAGUUCAAUAUUUAGCUUUUAUUUAUUCGAAAAAAGCAUUCCAUAUCUGGGAUCUUUCAAUAAGUUCCCUCAAAAAUUUUCUUUAUAAAAAUCUACUUGAGAUGAACACUGUGUUAAAUCUACGGUCUGUUUGUUUAAAAAAUGGUGCGUAAAAUCAGACUCCGAGAAAGGACGGAUUUGAAGAAUGUCAGAGAUUUCAACAAUUCCUUGCGAAAUGUGGAGGAUGAUCAGGCAACGCUAAUGCGCUGCUCAUAGGCCAUUUCGCCCAACUCUCUGUCGUCCGGAAGAGCGUGAUGACGCAGAUUGCAGAGACGCUCUCCAUGACGAAGAAUCACCAUGAUGAUCAAGACGAUAAACAUGGCUAGCAUGGCCACUGCUGGGUACAAAGUUAUGAAUACCAUCUUUCGUUUUCAAAUGUCACUCUCUCGCUUGUGCAGUUCUACGUACUCUUCCUGACGAUGGCUUGGGUGCAGAUGACGACUUUCGUAGUGAGGACGAUGAUGAGUGGCAAUGUACUCUGAAUGUUCAACUUCCUCACCCUGCACAAGGCCAUACAUUGAAACCCGAAUAAUAAUUGGUAGAAUAUGUGUGCGAGACUGUUCAGCAAGGGAGUUCAACAAAAUUAUUGAUGACGUCGAUGUGUCGCAUAAAUGCCUGCAAGAUUCUUUGGAGUAAGGUGAAGCUAAUAAUUGAGUUCUCAAAAUGUUGUCCUAAGGACAACGAUCUUCAAACAAUGGCCAAAGGACGAUUUUAAAGAUGGAGAAAGUGUUGGAAUGGUUCUCCUAAUAUCGAAUAAUCUGUGACGCUGAACCUGAGACGUGAAGAAAAGAAAUUUUUGGGAGAGUGAAUUUGGACAGGUGUGCUGGCCGCUUCUUUAAUUCAAUGUGUGGAGAAUAACAUUAAUUCAUCAGGGACAGACAAUUAUAUUCCUCAAAAAGGAGAAAGUUUCUGGGUUUCCUCACUAGCACUGGGAGGAUUUUCAAAAGUAAAUACGAAAUGUAGAAAUACCGUUGAAUGUAAAACAGGAAAAUUUUUAUUUAUCUCCUAAGUAAAUUCCCUCAAUUUCAAAUUCAACAAAUAUUUUAAUAAUUUUUUUUACUCUAAAAAUUUGCCAUGAAUUUUCGACAAAUUAAUUCAGAAACGUGUUUAAGAUAUUAAGGUGAUACAAGAAGUAAAAAAAAUAUGUAGAGAAAGAGAUGAUCUUGCAUUUACACAGAAUGUCAUAGAAUUUUAUUGUGUAAAACGUCUCAGAAUAUUAAAAAAGAGUUAGAGACAUUGGCUUGCAGGAGGUGAGAUUGUAAUUGUAAGACAACUUCAAAUAUAUUGAAAGUCACUUUAAAGUUACCUAUUUAGUGAAAUUCUGGCAAAUCUUUCUGGCUACUAGAGAUCUGAUGAUGUUUGAAAUAAAUUAAAAGAUUUUAUCAGACAAUUUACUAAUUAACAAUAUUUACUAGAUUUAGAAUUACUUUUACAAAAUCAAACAAAUUUUUUAGUACACCGAGAAAAAUUUUAUGGGUAGUAUUAAUGUUUUUCUGGGUAAAAUCAAAAAAAAAAAAUUUUUUUCGUCAGCCAAUGGUGAAAUACAUUUGUUUCUAAUGUUUUAUUUGAUUUGAAUACAGACGACUUUUACUUCAAAUAUUUUUACAUUUGAUCUGAAAGGCAGUAAUCAUAGCCACAACAAAUAUAUUUGUAUUUAUUUUGAAUGGCACUGUAUUUGAAGAGAAAACAUGUCUUUUAAAUCAAAUACAUUUGUACUUUAUUUCUAAAGUGGAUUUUAAACACUUUCAUGGGUAGAAUCAAAAAUUUCUGGGUAACACUACCAUAGUUUCAAUAGUAGAAAUAUUUGUUUUAACCACGAUUUACCAUUAAUUUAAAUACACAAUGGGUAAAAUUAAAAAUUUCCUUGGUAUAUUUAAAUGUUCUUUACCAUAGAUUCAAUGGCAAAUAUGUUUGCUUUGAUAUUCCUCCACAUUAAAUCAAAUAAUAUUCUCGGGUAGAUAUAACAGUACCAGGGUAUAUUUAAAAAACUCUUGCUAUGAUUUCAAAAAUAAAUUUAUUUGA